rnacentral:rRNA from 1 species
UACAGAGGGUGCAAGCGUUAAUCGGAAUUACUGGGCGUAAAGCGCGCGUAGGUGGUUUGUUAAGUUGGAUGUGAAAUCCCCGGGCUCAACCUGGGAAUGGCAUUCGGGACUGCAAGGCUGGAGUGCGGCAGAGGAGACUGGAAUUCCUGGUGUAGCAGUGAAAUGCGUAGAUAUCAGGAGGAAUACCGAUGGCGAAGGCAGGUCUCUGGGCUGACACUGACGCUCAUGCACGAAAGCGUGGGGAGCAAACAGG